UACGGGGGGGAGCAAGCGUUGUUCGGAUUUACUGGGCGUAAAGGGCGCGUAGGCGGCCACCGCAAGUCGGUUGUGAAAUCUCCGGGCUUAACUCGGAAAGGUCAGCCGAUACUGCGGGGCUAGAGUGCAGAAGGGGCAACUGGAAUUCUCGGUGUAGCGGUGAAAUGCGUAGAUAUCGAGAGGAACACCUGCGGCGAAGGCGGGUUGCUGGGCUGACACUGACGCUGAUUGUGCGAAAGCUAGGGGAGCGAACGGG
rnacentral:rRNA from 1 species